rnacentral:tRNA from 1 species
GGAUUGUGGCUCAGUUGGCAGAGUGCUUGCCUAGCAUGUUUGAGGCACUGGGUUUGAUCCUCAGCACCA